rnacentral:lncRNA from 1 species
CUGAGUGCUCCUGUCACAGACCCACAAGUGUGGGUACGGGGCUGUUACAGUGCCAUGAGGAAUGAACUGGAAAAGCUGUCCAACAGGAGGCUGCCUUUGAGAGUUUAUUUCCCUGUGAGGAAAUGGCCUUCCCCAUGCUGCUCCAUGAGGGUGUCCUUCUCUGGCCUUGUCGCCGCAGCUGCGUGCCCACAGGCUCCUGCAGACAACGUGUUUUGCUUGUUGACAUAAAAGUGCUUCUCAAGGACUGGCCAAAACAUGACCUUGAAAUUGUAAUCUUAUUAACAGAAGCUUGUAUUGGUGGUGUUUCAUUUGAUCUACUUACUCGUCUCUACAGACUUGCUUUGACAUUGCCUUUGUCUCAUCUGGACAUUACAGCAUGGCCUACAUAAUGCCUACUAAAUUUAUUUUACCACUGGCUUUAGCAUAAUACCAUCCCAUAGAGCAGGCAUGCUGUGAUCAUCAACGUGACCGUGGAAAUAAGCAGACAUAAUUGGAAAAACCUUGCUGAAAUGGCUAGCUCGUACCCUCUGCAUGUGCGCUCUCACAGGCCUGCGGCUUGGCUGGGCCUCGUGCCCUCAUGGCCACAGGUACGUGCCCUCUUUGCAAGGUCUGCACCCACCGCCUUGUCUGGGGCACCACGGCUUUCCUCAGGUGCUCAGCUGGCUGAGAGAUGUUCCCCGAGUCCAGCUUGGCUCCACGCUGAAGGAUUUUAAAGCUCAGGCUGAAAGUCGAAGGGCUUCUUCAAAUACCAGGGCUGUGACAUGGCAUCAUCCAUCUGAGGAGCUCUUCAGGUUGGGAAGUCAGGAGAAGGAGCAAAAUUUUUCUGAGUUCAUCUUUACAGGUGUGCCCAAUAAAAAUCUUGUGUAUUCCAAAAGGACUAACAAAUAACUACCACUACUGUAUUUUUGAAGAUUUUAUCUUUAACCUUGGCAUAUCACCUGUGUUCCACUGAUUUUCUUUAUCCUUUUGCUUUCUACUUAUAAUCAGAACACAGUCCUUGGUAUUUAUUUGGAUAAAUUUAGUCCUAGUAAUCUUUCUGUACUAAAUGUUUAGACAACAUUUGUUGUGACUGGUGCUUUAUGGGCCUUUGUCUGUGAAGUAGCACCAAAGCUGAGGCCCUGGUAGGCCCCAGCUGUGAAAGUGUACAAAGAAAGGAACCUGACUGAAGCUACUGAGAAAACACCUUCUUCAAAGGCAGGGAUAAAAGAAGAGUAUUUUGGGAAAUGCUGGACAUCCAUAAAUAUCAAUGUAUAUAUUAUGUCUUUUUUAUACACCACCUUCAGAACUAAGCUGCUGUCUAUUAAACGAGGCUACCGUACCUGUUAAGUCCUCAUGGGAUUUAUCCCCUUUUAGCUCCCAUAACAGUGCCUGUUAGAAAAUUUUGGAAUCUGGGUAAAUUUCUUACUCCUUGAAACUGUAAUGUGUUCUGCAAAGGAAUCUUAUUCAGCUGGCCUCCGUGGUAAUGUUGCUC